UACGGAGGGUGCAAGCGUUGUCCGGAAUCACUGGGCGUAAAGGGCGCGUAGGCGGCUCAUGAAGGCUGUGGUGAAAGUCCGGGGCUCAACCUCGGAUCGGCCGUGGCGACUCGUGGGCUGGAGCACUGUAGAGGCGGGUGGAAUUCCUGGUGUAGCGGUGAAAUGCGCAGAUAUCAGGAGGAACACCAAUUGCGAAGGCAGCUCGCUGGGACGUUACUGACGCUGAGACGCGAAAGCGUGGGGAGCAAACAGG
rnacentral:rRNA from 1 species